CAGCAUGGAAGAAGCUUGCUUCUUCUGAUGGCGACCGGCGCACGGGUGCGUAACGCGUAUCAAACCUGCCUCAUACUCGGGGAUAGCCUUGCGAAAGUAAGAUUAAUACCCGAUGUUGUUAUGUUGCCACAUGGUGAUAUAACCAAAGAUUUAUCGGUAUGAGAUGGUGAUGCGUCCGAUUAGGUAGUAGGCGGGGUAACGGCCCACCUAGCCAUCGAUCGGUAGGGGUUCUGAGAGGAAGGUCCCCCACACUGGAACUGAGACACGGUCCAGACUCCUACGGGAGGCAGCAGUGAGGAAUAUUGGUCAAUGGACGAAAGUCUGAACCAGCCAAGUAGCGUGCAGGAUGACGGCCCUCUGGGUUGUAAACUGCUUUUAGUUGGGAAUAAAAAAGAGGACGUGUCCUCUAUUGUAUGUACCUUCAGAAAAAGGACCGGCUAAUUCCGUGCCAGCAGCCGCGGUAAUACGGAAGGUCCAGGCGUUAUCCGGAUUUAUUGGGUUUAAAGGGAGCGUAGGCGGAUUAUUAAGUCAGUGGUGAAAGACGGUGGCUCAACCAUCGUUAGCCAUUGAAACUGGUAGUCUUGAGUGCAGACAGGGAUGCUGGAACUCGUGGUGUAGCGGUGAAAUGCUUAGAUAUCACGAUGAACUCCGAUCGCGAAGGCAGGUGUCCGGGCUGCAACUGACGCUGAGGCUCGAAAGUGUGGGUAUCAAACAGGAUUAGAUACCCUGGUAAUCCACACAGUAAACGAUGUAUACUCGCGGUUUGCGAUAGACAAUAAGCCGCCAAGCGAAAGCAUUAAGU
rnacentral:rRNA from 1 species